rnacentral:piRNA from 1 species
UAGAACCUUUCAUGUGUGUCUGGCCUGAU